rnacentral:rRNA from 1 species
GACGGAGGAUGCAAGCGUUAUCCGGAAUCACUGGGCGUAAAGCGUCUGCAGGUGGUUUCCUAAGUCCACUGUUAAACCUUGAGGCUCAACCUCAAAUCUGCAUUGGAAACUAGGAGACUUGAGUAUAGUAGGGGUAGAGGGAAUUUCCAGUGGAGCGGUGAAAUGCGUAGAUAUUGGAAAGAACACCGAUGGCGAAGGCACUCUACUGGGCUAUUACUGACACUCAGAGACGAAAGCUAGGGGAGCAAAUGGG